rnacentral:snRNA from 1 species
GUGCCCCAGGUCCACUUUGGCAGCACAUAUACUAAAAUUGGAACGAUACAGAGAAGAUUAUCAUGGCCCCCGCGCAAUGAUGACACACAAAUUUGUGAAGCGCUCCAUAUCUUU